rnacentral:rRNA from 1 species
GACGAACGCUGGCGGCGUGCUUAACACAUGCAAGUCGAACGGAAAGGCCCUGCUUGCAGGGUACUCGAGUGGCGAACGGGUGAGUAACACGUGGGUGAUCUGCCCUGCACUUUGGGAUAAGCCUGGGAAACUGGGUCUAAUACCGGAUAGGAGCCAUUCUUAGUGUGAUGGUUGGAAGGUUUUUUCGGUGUAGGAUGAGCUCGCGGCCUAUCAGCUUGUUGGUGGGGUAAUGGGCUACCAAGGCGGCGACGGGUAGCCGGCCUGGGAGGGUGGACGGCCACAUUGGGACUGAGAUAAGGCCCAGACUCCCACGGGCGGCCGCCGUGGGGGCUCUUGCCCCCUGGGCGCCAGCCUGAUGCAGCGACGCCGCGGGGGGGAUGACGGCCUUCGGGUUGUAAACUCCUUUCGCCCGGGGACACGCUUUUUGUGCCGGUCCCUCGCUCAGCCGCCCCGGCUCCCUACGUG